AGUUGAGUCCUGGUUGACACACCGCACCGUCCAUCUCCAGCUCCCGCUGUGGGUUCGAACUCUCUUUCCCGGCGUCCCACGCGGUGCGGCCGCCCUUUGGGCUGUGUAAAGACCCCUCGGUCUAAGGCUUUCCUAUUUCCUGGUUCGCCAGCGGCCAUUUUGGGUGGAAGCGAUAGCUGAGUGGCGGCGGCUGCUGAUUGUGUUCUUAGGGGACGGAGUGGGGGAAUACGUUUGCUCUCCCGGAACAGCCUAUCUCAUUCCUUUCCCUCGAUUACCCGUGGCGCGGAGAGUCAGGGCGGCGGCUGCAGCAGCAAGGGCGGCGGUGGCGGCGGCGGCAGCUGCAGUGACAUGUCCAGCAUGAAUCCCGAAUAUGAUUAUUUAUUCAAGUUACUUCUGAUUGGCGACUCUGGGGUUGGAAAGUCUUGCCUCCUCCUUAGGUUUGCAGAUGAUACAUAUACAGAAAGCUACAUCAGCACAAUUGGUGUGGAUUUCAAAAUAAGAACUAUAGAGUUAGAUGGGAAAACAAUCAAGCUUCAAAUAUGGGACACAGCAGGCCAAGAAAGAUUUCGAACAAUCACCUCCAGUUAUUACAGAGGAGCCCAUGGCAUCAUAGUUGUGUAUGAUGUGACAGAUCAGGAGUCCUUCAAUAAUGUUAAACAGUGGCUGCAGGAAAUAGACCGUUAUGCCAGUGAAAACGUCAACAAGUUGUUGGUAGGGAACAAAUGCGAUCUGACCACAAAGAAAGUAGUAGACUACACAACAGCAAAGGAAUUUGCGGAUUCCCUUGGAAUUCCAUUCUUGGAAACCAGUGCUAAGAAUGCAACGAAUGUAGAACAGUCUUUCAUGACGAUGGCAGCUGAGAUUAAAAAGCGAAUGGGUCCUGGAGCAACAGCUGGUGGUGCAGAGAAGUCCAAUGUUAAAAUUCAGAGCACUCCGGUCAAGCAGUCAGGUGGAGGUUGCUGCUAAAAUUUGCCUCCGCCCUUCUCUCACAGCAAUGAAUUUGCAAUCUGAACCCAAGUGAAAAAAACAAAAUUGCCCGAAUUGUACUGUAUGUAGCUGCACUACAACAGAUUCUUACCGUCUCCACAAAGCAGUCAAGACUGGGCUUCCCGCAAGAUGUCUCCGAGUACAAACGCUUCAAGUAAUAAUUUGUUAAUUUAAUAAGGGGAAUUCCCACUUGUCAUAUUUUAAUGUCAGUGGCUUCCAUGAAUUAGCUAUGGGAGUAAGGGAAGUGUUCUAAGCCUGAUUGGUUGCAAUCUCUGGGAAGUCCUUGCAGAACGAUAGCCAUUCUGGCCUGAGCAAAAUGUCCCGUUCUUUGACUUGCGACUGAAAUUGCCUUUAGCAUGCAUGCUGCCACUGCAGCAUCUUUUAGGUCAGCCCUACUUUAUGUCCCCAGUUAAGCUGAAAAACAGCCCUGUAUUGAUACUGUCUCCUAUCUGCAGAUGGGCCUAGCCACGGAGCUGCAACACGAACCCAGGGCUCGAAACCGCCAGUCCAGCUCUUAGUACUACCACUUGCCCGUGGACUUCAAUUCUACUGAUUUAAAGGGACUACUAGGAAAGUUUACGACAGGUAACUAUGGCUAUGUCAGUGCAAGCUAACGCUGUCCUUCAGGCUCAUGUGUACCAACUGCAGUCGGUGCAGUGGCCAGCCGGGCUCUCUGCGAGUCUGACCCCGCCACGUUUGCCCAUGGAAAUGCUGCUGGCAGCACCUUCCUGGGAUGAAACGAUUUCAACCUGAGUCUUCAAGGUGGUCUUAAACUGCUUAUAAGCACUGCUAAAGACAUAAUUCACGGUUCUGUUGAUACUCUUCAGUGGCAUUCAUAGCCAGGUCCCGAGUAUCUUCAGUCACACCUUAUUUCAAAGGAGAUAAACAAAAGUAUCUUAGAUCCUAUUUCUAAGUAAAGUAAUACUUUCCUGGGAAACGGGUUAUUCCGAAAUAAAAUACUCUGAAAAUUCCUGUCAGGUGAAGCUGGUAAUUACUAGGCUGGAUGGGAACAGAAUGGCAUACUCAGCAUUCAGUUGCUGUAUCGUUGGCCAGUCUGUUUCUGUAGGGUUGUCAUCUUAGGUUUUUUGGUGAACCUAAUAGAAACUGUCUCUCAUAUACUAGCAAAUAAGUGGGUUUAAUGCCUCAGGGCUAUCCCGUAACACUCAGUAGAAAGGCACGUACCAAUUUUAGCCACAAAGAGAAGAGAAAAUAGAUCAAUUCAAGAACAGAGGCCAUUAGGAGCACCUGGUUUGGCUCAGUUCAUGAGAUCAAGGCCCACGUCCAGCUCUGACGGUGCGGAGCUUGCUUGGGAUUCUCUCUCUGCACCUCCCCUGCACAUAUACUCGGUCCUUCUCUCAAAAAUAAAUAAACAUUAAAAAAAAGUAAAAGAACAAAGGCCAUUAGACAUAUCUGUCGUUCCUAAGGAAAUUUUACAUAUAGAAUUAUUUGCUCUGGAGGGGUUUUAUCUUCUUAAAUCUCACUAUGGAACCAAGAUUAAAGGCCUGAAUUUCUUUUAAAGAAGGUAAUUUUGUAUUAAAUGUUCUGUUCUGAGGAGUAUCAGAAAUCUCGUGAGAAUAAUUGUUCUAAUGUCACCUUUAGAUUUAAAAUGAUCUGUGCAUUUUUUAUAAACAUAAGCUCUUCCUUUCUUAAAAGAACCCUCCUCAAAUGAGAAUCUGGAAGGAGUUUGAAGAAAGAUGUUUAAGUGCAAAAAAUCCUUUCCAUAAGUCCUAGCCCACCGUAACGCUACAGAUACGGGGGGGGGGGGGGGGCGGGGACAGACAUGCUUUCUUCCGUGUUCAUUCAUGGCACAAGAGAAAUGUUUUAAAGGUUGUUUUUUGUUUUGUUUUGAUUUUUUGCAGAAUUGGUUACCAGCAAUAGCUGAUCGUUUUGCUUUAAAAAGCUUUACAAUUGAUGCUUUAAAUGGUUGAUCCAUAGAUUUCUUUUUUUCCCUAUCAAGUUACAGAUCAUGCAACCAAACAUUUCCCUUUUUUCCUUCCCUACUGACCGCACGCCCUUUUCUUCCCUGAUCUUGGACUGUUCUUCCAAGACAGAGUAGGAAUGCGUGGAUAGAUGCGUCCUCCUAGAGGUGCCCUUUAGGUGUGGAUAAUCAGGUCCAUAGUCUUGCAAAGCUCAGUAGCAGUUCCCUCUGUCUGACACGUUUUCCUUUAAGAUCUUAGGCAGGCAGAUGGAGCAUUACUAGGCCCCUAAGAUAACUUAAAAGGUGUCCUAACAACCCAAAAUAAUUUGAGAACUAUUGAUUUGGAGACUUAAAGUCUCUUCUAAAAUCUUCAAGGGGGAUUUAUAAACCUAAGCUUAAGUUUAUGAAAAGACUCAAGUUCCUGGCCAACCAUUCAGUUUUUUCAGUCUCCUGGGUCUUCUGGUAUGCCUGAGAAUUCCACGUAUUUGGUACCUUCUCUCUCAAACGAACCUUCUUUAAAUGACCUUUGUAUCAGGUAGACUAUUUUAGGAGCUCUGCUCUUUUUAGCUGGAUUGAAGGGGAUGAAAGGCCUGUAAGCCUUAUUAGCAUUAUUUUAUCAAAAACUGCAAAGCCACAUGCUUUUGUUGAGAAGCACCAAAAGGAAAACCUUAGUUUGGAAGGAUUCAUUUUAAAUAAAGAUAGGAACUCAAUAGCCCUUACUUCAGGGAAGAGAAAGGCAUUUUAAAACUAGUUACAUUAGAGUUAAGUUCCCCCUGUGAUUUCAGCGUUAUAAAUGGCUCUUACAAGGGCUUCCUGAAAGCUUCCCACCAGCCAGGUUUUAGCCGACAGAUUACAUCUCUGCCUUAGAAGAUGCCUGAAAGAGAAAGAGAAACAUUUUUACAGGCAGAAUGCAGCAGAGGAAGAAAGGACACCCGCAGGCACUGUGUUCAUUUUAGAACUACAAUGACUGUUGCUCAGAUUUCCUUGAUGCAAGUACAGGGCCUCCCUGUCCCAAGUGGACACACUUGGAUUUUAUCCUUUACUUUCACAGUGAAGUCUUACCUAGAAGGUCUGUGAGUGAUGCACCACAUUUUGGUUGCAGGAGAGGAAGUUUCAGGGAAAGCAGGUUGGGCAGUGGCGGCCCCACACUGGGCACGAACCCCCUCUGCUCUCAGCUCCUUUUCCCUAUCAUUCCCUGUUGGACUUUCCCAAAGAUGAAAAGAAAGUUGUACUGUUAAGUCUCCAAGGCACGUUACCCCACCUAUCCCCUAGCCCUUUUUAGAAGGGAGUUUGCAGAGAUCAUUGUUGGGAAGGGAGGGGUGAGGAUUUAUCAGUUGCUUGAAGAUGGGCCAGAAGAGCCUCCAGAACAGGCAGCCUGAGAAUGGCCCUCUACUGGAGACGCACACAUAUAAAAAAGUAGGCACAGAGGAGUUCUGCCACUGUUGUCUUUGAGGGGUUGGAGGUGAAGGGACUGCCACGGAAGUGCGAGCAUGGGGCACCCUAGUCCUUAGUGGGCAGUGGGGAUGAAACGGAGUUAAUGGAAAGCACCUCAGUGAGCCAGCUUCCCACAGGAAGACCCCCAACCUUCUUCCUGGCAAUGGCAGCAUCUCCCUUUUUCAGCGUCUGGGUCUUCUAGCAUCUCAUUGUUUCAGUCACUCUUGGUUCAACAGUCUUCCAAGAGACAGCCAACCUUUAGAGCAGGAGCUCUGUACCCUCACCUGGCACUGGGGUCCAGUGGACACGUUUUCUUCUCUCGGGUUGCCUACUCACCAGACUAAUCCCCUUCACGUCGGUGCUCCUGUGCGCCACUGGCGUGUUGUCAGGGAUGAGGGUGCAGCCGGCCAGCAUGUCCAGGGAAGCUAAGAUGGCAUCAUACAGGCGAUCUGCAUGGCUCUCCAGCUCACUGGGCUGCUUCGAGAUCCUCCCGAGGACAUCCUUUAACACUAACAAAUGAGGUUCAAAGCAUUUAGGCCAAAAAAAACCAAAAAACAAAAAAACACCCCAACACCCAACAUGUGUGUUUUGGAAGAAUCAUAUAUAAGGGUGCAG